UCUUAUAUAGCUCAGUCUGUAGAUCAUGAGGCUGUUAAUCUUAGGGUCGUGGGUUCAAGUCCCACGUUGGGCA